rnacentral:rRNA from 1 species
UACGUAGGGUGCAAGCGUUGUCCGGAAUUAUUGGGCGUAAAGGGCUCGUAGGCGGUUUGUCGCGUCGGGCGUGAAAACCCAGGGCUUAACCCUGGGCUGGCUUCCGAUACGGGCAGACUAGAGGUAUGCAGGGGAGAACGGAAUUCCUGGUGUAGCGGUGAAAUGCGCAGAUAUCAGGAGGAACACCGGUGGCGAAGGCGGUUCUCUGGGCAUUACCUGACGCUGAGGAGCGAAAGUGUGGGGAGCGAACAGG